rnacentral:rRNA from 1 species
GCAUAUCAAUAAGCGGAGGAAAAGAAACUAACAAGGAUUCCCCUAGUAGCGGCGAGCGAACCGGGAUGAGCUCAAAUUUGUAAUCUGGCGUCCUCCGGGCGUCCGAGUUGUAAUCUAUAGAAGCGUCUUCCGUGCCGGACCGCGUCCAAGUCCCUUGGAACAGGGCGUCAAAGAGGGUGACAAUCCCGUGCUUGAUGCGACGACCGGUGCACUGUGAUACGCUCUCUACGAGUCGAGUUGUUUGGGAAUGCAGCUCAAAGUGGGUGGUAAAUUCCAUCUAAAGCUAAAUAUUGGCGAGAGACCGAUAGCGAACAAGUACCGUGAGGGAAAGAUGAAAAGCACUUUGGAAAGAGAGUUAAACAGUAUGUGAAAUUGUUGAAAGGGAAACGAUUGAAAGUCAGUCGA